UUUCAUUUUCUUUUUACUUUAAUCUUUUUUGGGGAGGAGAUUAAAUUCAGAAACUUGGAAGCAGCUAGUUAGGAUUCAGGCCAAACUGGUAAAUGACGGAGGGGCGCCUUCCCAAGCCAAGGAGAAAGGGUGGUCUGGCCGAUAAUAACCAGAAUGGGAGUGAGUGACUUGUGGCAAAUUUUGGAGCCCGUUAAGCAACACAUCGACUUGAGUAGUCUUGGUGGGAAAACCAUUGCAGUUGAUCUGAGCCUCUGGGUGUGUGAAUCACAGACAGUCAAAAAAAUGAUUGGAACUGUCACGAAGCCCCACCUCAGGAACUUGUUUUUUCGUAUCUCACAUUUAACACUAAUGGAUGUAAAACUGGUAUUCGUUAUGGAAGGGGAACCCCCAAAGCUGAAAGCUGAUGUCAUAAACAAGAGGAAUCAAAUUCGGUAUGGGCCUUCUGGAAAAACAUGGUCUCAGAAAACAGGGAGAUCACAUUUUAAAUCAGUGUUAAGAGAGUGUCUUGAAUUGCUGGAAUGCUUAGGAAUUCCCUGGGUCCAAGCUGCUGGGGAAGCAGAAGCCAUGUGCGCUUACCUCGAUGCCAGUGGUUAUGUGGAUGGCUGCCUCACCAAUGAUGGGGAUGCUUUCCUUUAUGGGGCCCGGACUGUUUAUAGGAAUUUCACUAUGAAUACCAAGGACCCCCACGUUGACUGUUAUACAAUGCCAUCUAUCAAGAGUAAACUAGGUUUGGAUAGAGAUGCUCUAGUUGGACUGGCAAUACUGCUUGGCUGUGAUUAUCUUCCAAAGGGCGUCCCUGGAGUUGGAAAAGAGCAAGCAUUAAAACUUAUACAGAUUUUGAAAGGUCAAAGUUUACUUCAGAGGUUUAUUCAGUGGAGUGAAGAAAAACCUUGUAACUCUAAUCAACAACCACUAGUUAUUAAAAAACUGGCUCAUUGCUCUGUGUGUUCCCAUCCAGGUUCACCUAAGGAUCAUGAACAUAAUGGAUGCAAAUUAUGUCAAACUGAUCGAUAUUGUGAACCACAUGAUUAUGAAUACUGUUGUCCCUGUGAGUGGCACCGAUCAGAGCAGGACAGGCAACUGAUUACAAUAGAGAACAAUAUUAAGAAAAAAGCUUGCAGUUGUGAAGGAUUCCCAUUCCAUGAGGUUAUUCAAGAAUUCCUUUUGAACAAGGAUAAAUUGGUAAAGGCAAUCAGGUACCAAAGACCUGAUUUAUUAUUGUUUCAGAGAUUUACUCUUGAAAAAAUGGAUUGGCCCAAUCACUAUGCAUGUGAGAAAUUGUUGGUACUUUUGACCCACUAUGACAUGAUAGAAAGAAAACUUGGUAGAAGACACUCUAAUCAACUACAGCCAAUUCGAAUUGUUAAAAACCGAAUCAGAAAUGGAGUUCAUUGCUUUGAAAUAGAGUGGGAAAAGCCUGAACAUUAUGCUAUAGAAGAUAAACAUGGAGAAUUAGUUCUAACAAUAGAAGAAGAAUCAUUAUUUGAAGCAGCUUUUCCAGAGAUUGUUGCUGUUUACCACAAACAAAAGUUAGAAAUUAAAGAGAAGAAAAAGAAAAGCAUGAAAACUAAGCCUAAAGAAAAUAAUUUGCCACAAACAGAUGAGAUGAAUUUUCAGUCACUCAUAACUUUAAAACCCACAUGUGAAAUCUCUUCUAAACAGAAUUCCCAGUUAAAUUUGGAAAUUUUCCCUGAUUCGGCAUUACCCCAGGAAUCUAUUUCUGCGUCAUUGAAGAGCUUGCUUUUAUCUGAAGAUGCUCUCUGUAUGAAUACUCAAGAACAGUUAAUGUCUUCUUCAAAACUUUUGGCUUCACAGCAAAUUACAGCUGUCAGUAAAUCUCUAAUUUCAGAAUCUAGUCAACCAAAUAUUUCAUCCCAUAAUGUGUCGACGAUUGCUGAUCUACACUUGAGCAGCAUUGAUUGGGAGGGAACUUCUUUUAGUAAUUCUCCCGCUAUUCCAAGGAAUACUUGCUCUCAUGGCUUAAAAUCAGGACUUGAAAUAGCCAUCCCUCAUAGCUUUAAACAUAUCCCAGGACAAUUGUCAUGUGACUCAGAAUGGUGCACCACAAAUAAAGUGUUCAGUUGGGAUCUUCAAAAGACUAAUCCUGAAGAGCAUCUACUUUCUGGCAUUACUAACUUACAUAGUCAGGAUCUGCCUUUAAAGGAACGAAUACUUAUAAAAUCAUUACAUCCUCUGGGUAAUGUACAGCCAGACCUGAAAACUUUAUCCGUACGCACAGUAAAAGAAUCUUGUAAGGCUAGCAGUAGUUCUGAUUGUCCAUCACAUCUUUCAGAGGAUCUAGGAAUUUAUUUGCAAAAGGAAUCUAGGAACUCUAAAGUUCUAAAAGGAGACCAGCUGUUUCCAGAAAACUAUAAAGUGAAUACUUCUAUACCCUAUUCUGUCAAAAACAUGAUAGUAAAGGCCUCUGAUGCUAGAGUCGAGCCACCAAAUACUUCUUUAGAUCAUAAUAGAAAUGUUGACUUGCAAACCACUCAGAAGAUUGUAAUGGAGAAAAGUGUUUGCCUUGACAGAUAUUCCUCUGAUGAAGAAAGUCCCCCAGUGUUUGGGAAAGCUAUGAAUGCAACUGAGAAAACGAAGCAGAGUUUUCAGAAGCACAAACCAGCCCAAUUCAAGAAAAAUGAUGCUAACGAAUUGAGUAACCCUAAGAUACAUAUUAAAGAAACGGAACAGUAUGUCCAGACUUCUAAAACAGCUGUAAAUGUAGAAAACUAUUUCCCAGAUGCAGCCAAAGUUUCUCUGAGUUCCCUACAGUGUCAUAAGGAAAAAGAUGACUCUGGUACCAGGCUGUGAGCAUCUUGUAUUCCUGAAUCUAACCCCUAGCAGAGGGGCUGCCACAGAAAGCCAUCAGUGAAUGGGUGCCGAUUGCCUGCUGGUGAAUUUGGGGUCUUCGUUCUUCCAUUCUCCAUCAAGAAAGAUCAGAUCCAGUUGGAUGGUUCCCUCCAUCAGCUUGAUCACGUGUCCCCCUUUGUCAUGUGAAGAUGCCAGGAUAUCCACCUUCCUGCUGUGAGUGAAGUCUCAAAGUGCUGUCCUGUGAAUCUGAAAAUGAAAAUGAGUGAUUUAUUCAACGUUCAUGUAAAGGGCCAGAUGUCCCCAGGAUGAGGUCAUCUGUGAGUUCUCAGUGGAGUGUCCAUUAAGAGCGGCUCCUUUUUGGCAUUCAUUUCUGACUUGAGUCACCUUUGCACAGUGACUGCAAGGGGCUGGGCCUGUUGUAAUCAGUUAAGUGCAUUUUUUACUAAUCUUGAAAGCAACCCAGAGAAGUAAAGCGACAUGCCUGUGGCCACACAGUUGGUAUGCUCGUCUCCUCCCAGUUGCAUUGCUCCCUCCAAAGGGGACA